rnacentral:tRNA from 1 species
CCUGGGUGGCCAAGCGGUAAGGCAACGGUUUUUGGUACCGUCAUCCCUGGUUCGAAUCCAGGCGGUCCA